AGUGAACGCUGGCGGUAGGCCUAACACGUGCAAGUCGAACGGCAGCACAGUAAGAGCUUGCUCUUACGGGUGGCGAGUGGCGGACGGGUGAGGAAUACAUCGUAAUCUACUUUUUCGUGGGGGAUAACGUAGGGAAACUUACGCUAAUACCGCAUACGACCUACGGGUGAAAGCAGGGGAUCUUCGGACCUUGCGCGAUUGAAUGAGCCGAUGUCGGAUUAGCUAGUUGGCGGGGUAAAGGCCCACCAAGGCGACGAUCCGUAGCUGGUCUGAGAGGAUGAUCAGCGACACUGGAACUGAGACACGGUCCAGACUCCUACGGGAGGCAGCAGUGGGGAAUAUGGGACAAUGGGCGCAAGCCUGAUCCAGCCAUACCGCGUGGGUGAAGAAGGCCUUCGGGUUGUAAAGCCCUUUUGUUGGGAAAGAAAAGCAGCAGGUUAAUACCCCGCUGUUCUGACGGUACCCAAAGAAUAAGCACCGGCUAACCUCGUG
rnacentral:rRNA from 1 species